rnacentral:rRNA from 1 species
UAGUCCACGCCGUAAACGAUGAAUGCUAGUUGUCAGGGGGCAUGCCCUUUGGUGACGCAGCUAACGCAUUAAGUAUCCCACCUGGGGAGUACGUUCGCAAGAAUGAAACUCAAAGGAAUUGACGGGGGCCCGCACAAGCGGUGGAGCAUGUGGUUUAAUUCGAUGAUACGCGAGGAACCUUACCAGGGCUUAAAUGUAGUCUGACAGCUUUAGAGAUAGAGUUUUCUUCGGACAGAUUACAAGGUGCUGCAUGGUUGUCGUCAGCUCGUGCCGUGAGGUGUCAGGUUAAGUCCUAUAACGAGCGCAACCCCUGUUGUUAGUUGCCAGCGAGUAAUGUCGGGAACUCUAGCAAGACUGCCGGUGCAAACCGCGAGGGAAGGUGGGGAUGACGUCAAAUCAUCACGGCCCUUACGUCCUGGGGCCACACACGUGCUACAAUGGUAGUACAGAGAGCAGCCACGUCGCGAGGCGGAGCGAAUC